ACGGGUGUAGCUCAGUCGGUAGAGCACUGGUCUCCAAAACCAGGUGUCGCGUGUUCGAACCAUGCCACCCGUG
rnacentral:tRNA from 1 species